rnacentral:rRNA from 1 species
CCCUUAGAUGUUCUGGGCCGCACGCGCGCUACACUGAUGCAUUCAACGAGUUACCUUGGCCGAGAGGCCUGGGCAAUCUUUUGAACGUGCAUCGUGAUAGGGAUAGAUUAUUGCAAUUAUUAAUCUUGAACGAGGAAUUCCUAGUAAACGCAGUUCAUCAAACUGCAUUGAUUACGUCCCUGCCCUUUGUACACACCGCCCGUCGCACCUACCGAUUGAAUGAUCCGAUGAAUAUCAUGGAUUGAGGAUGCAAGCAGGUUCGCCUGUCUUCAUCUUCGAGAAGUGAAGUAAAUCUUAUCAUUUAGAGGAAGGAGAAGUCGUAACA